UACAGAGGGUGCAAGCGUUAAUCGGAAUUACUGGGCGUAAAGCGUGCGCAGACGGUUGCGUAAGUCAGAUGUGAAAGCCCCGGGCUCAACCUGGGAAUUGCAUUUGAGACUGCGUAGCUAGGGUGCGGAAGAGGGAAGCGGAAUUUCCGGUGUAGAGGUGAAAUUCGUAGAUAUGGGGAGGAACACCGGUGGCGAAGGCGGCCGACCUGGGACGG
rnacentral:rRNA from 1 species